GUGCAGGCGGCGCGCCGGCGUGCCGGCGCGAUCGCGUGCGGUACGCGGCAGAUGGCGGACGUUUCGUCCGUUAUCCGAUCGUUUCGGAUGCCUGCGUUC
rnacentral:tRNA from 1 species